rnacentral:lncRNA from 1 species
CACCUGAGAGAAAGUUCGAUUCUGCGAGUCCUAUACUAGGUUAGAACCUCCAACGUCUCCAGAUGUCUGGCAAUUGUUUGUGCACAUACUACACAGUGCUAUGGGCACGCCAAUUUGCUCGUUAGAGGUAGCCUGAUUGAUCAAGUGCAACGCUUGUUCUGUGGACUGAACGUGCAAGCACGCACAAGGGGCCAGAUUCAGUGCUGGGCAGUGCCUGUCCGAUCACUAUGAUAUCAGCCUCACAUAAUCCUGAGCUGGAUCGAAACGAGUCCUGCUGAAAGCAGGAUCCACACACAAGUAAGUGCCGUGUGCCAGCAUUGUUGCGUUGGGAACGACCUCUUGUGUCCUGCAGUGUGGCUGUGCUUCUGAUGUCUCCUGCCUGUAGCAGGACCUGGCUUAAAGGGCGC